rnacentral:rRNA from 1 species
GAUGAACGCUGGCGGCGCGCCUAAUACAUGCAAGUCGAGCGAACAGAUGAGGAGCUUGCUCCUCUGACGUUAGCGGCGGACGGGUGAGUAACACGUGGAUAACCUACCUAUAAGACUGGGAUAACUUCGGGAAACCGGAGCUAAUACCGGAUAAUAUAUUGAACCGCAUGGUUCAAUAGUGAAAGACGGUUUUGCUGUCACUUAUAGAUGGAUCCGCGCCGCAUUAGCUAGUUGGUAAGGUAACGGCUUACCAAGGCAACGAUGCGUAGCCGACCUGAGAGGGUGAUCGGCCACACUGGAACUGAGACACGGUCCAGACUCCUACGGGAGGCAGCAGUAGGGAAUCUUCCGCAAUGGGCGAAAGCCUGACGGAGCAACGCCGCGUGAGUGAUGAAGGUCUUCGGAUCGUAAAACUCUGUUAUUAGGGAAGAACAAAUGCGUAAGUAACUAUGCACGUCUUGACGGUACCUAAUCAGAAAGCCACGGCUAACUACGUG